rfam:Natranaerobius trueperi strain DSM 18760 ZB100023, whole genome shotgun sequence.
GGCUCCUUUAAGAUAGUCCCGUGAGACUAUCAAGGAAUUAUAUCGAAGUUAUCUUUGAAUUGGUGUACCAUACCAGUUUAGAGUUACUUAGAUAGUGGUAUAUAUUCCCUGUGCCUCACGGUAACAGGGAUUUUUUUAU